UCGGGAAUAUUGCGCAAUGGAGGAAACUCUGACGCAGUGACGCCGCGUAUAGGAAGAAGGUUUUCGGAUUGUAAACUAUUGUCGUUAGGGAAGAAAAAAUGACAGUACCUAAGGAGGAAGCUCCGGCUAACUACGUGCCAGCAGCCGCGGUAAUACGUAGGGAGCGAGCGUUAUCCGGAUUUAUUGGGUGUAAAGGGUGCGUAGACGGGUGUGCAAGUUGGUUGUGAAAUCCCUCGGCUUAACUGAGGAACUGCAACCAAAACUGUAUAUCUUGAGUACAGGAGAGGUAAGUGGAAUUCCUAGUGUAGCGGUGAAAUGCGUAGAUAUUAGGAGGAACACCAGUGGCGAAGGCGACUUACUGGACUGAAAUCUGACGUUGAGGCACGAAAGUGUGGGGAGCAAACAGGAUUAGAUACCC
rnacentral:rRNA from 1 species